CCAAAUAACUGCAUGGCCAUUGUGCAAAUUAAGAUAAGUUUGAUAUCUUCUCUUAGGCAACUCCCUACUAAACCAAUCAGAAAACAGAAUGCUCUUGGCAUAGUGAUGCUGUUCCCUUCCCUCAGAGAUCCAUAUUCCAAGAAAGGCUCCGCAAGUCAUUGCUUGCAUCGCACUUUCAUGUCAUACUUGCAAUGUUAUGACAGGCUGUUUCUAUGACAUUGAAAUUUGAUUCUUUGAGAUUUUAGCCUGAAUAUGACAAAGGAUAUUCAAAAAAAAUCUAUGAUGCUGCAAGCAACACAUGAUACAUUGCCUGGCGUAAUAAAAACAGUCCACAGGAAUAUGGAGUGAUGCCACCAGACAGCCCUCUUCCUCAACAGUCUACGGCCAGGAAAUGGCAUCCCUUCUUUUAAUCCCUUCCACCACUUCCAGGAGGACUGAAGUCUCCAAAAAUUGCAUGCGAUGCAGCUGAAAGCCAUGUAAUCUAUCAUAAGUUUGGAGAAGCACCUCAGCAACAACCAUCCGUUCCUCCUUUUUGUUGGACUUCAGAAAAGCAACAGCUUCUACAUCGCCUUGGAUAAGCAUCUCCUCCCAUGCCAGGCAAACUGCUUCCUUAUUAGAUAAACUUUUAAAGGCACAUUUUGUGUUCAGUUUGUCAUAUGAUAGUGCACUUGUAAACUUUUACACAUUUCUACACAUUUUUAUGAGCAUCUUCAUGCAUUCAGAGUACUACGAAGUGAGGAAAGGUGUAUUAUAAAAAUGUCAGAGAUUAAAUUUUGAGCCAUUUGAUAUUCAAAACUCAUAGUGUGGCGGAUGAAAGUUGUAUAUCAUUCCUUCUUUUGUAAUGUUUUAAUUCUACUUCAAAUUGCACUGCGAGGGAGAAUUAAAAAUAAACAUGUUGAUGGAAAUUAUGUUGUGUGUUGUAGUUGAUUUAACUAUGUUUUCAGUAUAUUUAACAGUGUUUUGUUGAUCUUUUAACCACCUAAAUUACAACCACCUAAAACAUGCAACUCUAAACAGUGUUGUUUUUCUGUAUCCCUUUUAGUGUUAUUUUAACACUUUUUUGGAGUCAAAUAAGGAACUCUGGCAUAGUGUUAAAUGUUGAACUAUUUUGAAAGUGUUAAUUUAACUCCAGAAAGUGUGGAGCUAUAUAAGCUCUGAAAAAGUGUCGAAAUCAACU